UAGGAUUGUAGCACAGGGAAAAAUUUCAAGUUUUGUUUUUUUUUGUUUUUUUGGUUUUAGUUUUAAUGACAUUAUAAACAUGAUCGUUGAUGUUGGUGUUCGAUGUUUUAGAGGACAUACUGUAUCGGUGAUCGAGAAAGAUUAACAAAAUAUAUUGUAUUAUAUAGUUUUUAGACCUAUAUAAAGUAAUAAAUGCAGUGUAAUAUUUUCACUACUAUUUGUUUUUGAAAU
rnacentral:lncRNA from 1 species